rnacentral:rRNA from 1 species
AGGAUGAACGCUAGCGGCAGGCUUAACACAUGCAAGUCGAGGGGUAUGGUAGCAAUACCAGAGACCGGCAAACGGGUGCGGAACACGUACACAAUCUACCUUUAUCUGGGGCAUAGCCCGGAGAAAUCCGGAUUAACUCCCCAUAAUAUAGUUGAGUGGCAUCAUUUGAUUAUUAAAAAUUCAUUGGAUAGAGAUGAGUGUGCGUCCCAUUAGCUAGUUGGUAGGGUAACGGCCUACCAAGGCGACGAUGGGUAGCUGGUGUGAGAGCACGACCAGCCACACGGGCACUGAGACACGGGCCCGACUCCUACGGGAGGCAGCAGUGAGGAAUAUUGGUCAAUGGACGCAAGUCUGAACCAGCCAUGCCGCGUGAAGGAUGAAGGCCUUCUGGGUUGUAAACUUCUUUUACCUGGGAAGAAACCUUCUUUUUUUCUAAGAGAGUUGACGGUACCAGAGGAAUAAGCACCGGCUAACUCCGUGCCAGCAGCCGCGGUAA